GAUGAAGAACGUAGCGAAAUGCGAUACGUAAUGUGAAUUGCAGAAUUCAGUGAAUCAUCGAAUCUUUGAACACAUAUUGCGCUCUCUGGUAUUCCGGAGAGCAUGCUUGUUUGAGUAUCAGUAAACACCUCAACUUCCAUAUCUUUUUUGAAAUGGGAGUUGGACUUGAGUGAUCCCAACGCUUUUCCUCACCGAAAAGUGGCGGGUUACUUGAAAUGCAGGUGCAGCUGGACUUUUCUCUGAGCUAUAAGCAUAUCUAUUUAGUCUGCCUAAAAACAGAUUAUUACCUUUGCUGCAGCUAACAUAAAGGAGAUUAGUUCUUGUGCUGACUGAUGCAGGAUUCACAAAGACAGGCUUCGGCCGACUUUGUAAACUCGAUCUCAAAUCAAGUAAGACUACCCGCUGAACUUAAGCAUAUCAAUAAGCGGAGGA
rnacentral:misc_RNA from 1 species